CUUGAGUGCAGAAGGGGAGAGUGGAAUUCCAUGUGUAACGGUGAAAUGCGUAAAUAUAUGGAGGAACCCCCGAGUGGAAAGCGACUCACUGGUCUGUAACUGACGCUGUAAUGUGAAAGGGGCGGGAGCGAACAGGAUAAAUACCCUGGUAGUCACCACAGUAACGAUGGAUGCCCGCUGUUAGCGCCUGGCGGGGCGAUUGCCAAAAUUAUGAGAAUCCCACCUGGGGGGGGUGCCGGAAACGGUGGAACUCAAAGGAAUUGACGGGGGCCCGCACAAGCGGAGGAACAUGUGGGUUAAUUCGAUGAUACGCGAGGAACCUUACCCGGGCUUGAAUUGCAUAGGAAUUAUUUAGAGAUAAAUAUGGCCUUCCAGGUCUCUGAGAAGGUG
rnacentral:rRNA from 1 species